UACGGAGGAUCCGAGCGUUAUCCGGAUUUAUUGGGUUUAAAGGGUGCGCAGGCGGGAGAUUAAGUCGGCGGUGAAAUUUUGCAGCUCAACUGUAAAAGUGCCUUCGAUACUGGUUUCCUUGAGUGUGGAUGAAGUAGGCGGAAUUUGUGGUGUAGCGGUGAAAUGCAUAGAUAUCACGAGGAACUCCGAUUGCGCAGGCAGCUUACUAAACUACUACUGACGCUCAGGCACGAAGGCGUGGGGAUCAAACAGGAUUAGAUACCCGGGUA
rnacentral:rRNA from 1 species